rnacentral:lncRNA from 1 species
GGCCACUGAGCCAGGGUGCAGUGGCAGCGGCUGUGUAGUUGGGGGUGGCGACAUGAGCCGUGCGAGCUAGCCUCCCAGCUGGUCCCCGGGAUCUCAGGUUACGUCGCACCCCCCGCAGUGCCGCCGGUCUGUGGGUGUCCAGAUCGACCAGCAGAGGCAGAUCCUGGACUUGGACCUGGGCCUGCAGUUCCUACAGCAGCAGUCCUUGGAGUUGCUGGCCAAGCUCCACUAGAAGAUCGAGCAUCUGAAGUGGGAGAACAAGGAUCCCCAUUACAAGCUCAUAAUGAAUGACCCUCCCGCUUUCUGGAUGGCCCCUCAGGAAACAACCUUUCCGGGGCCUCUGCUCCCUUGGGCGCGCGGUGGGUCUGGGGCUGCCUCAGUGGAGUGUGGGUAGAGCAGGGAGGACACAGGCCUGCAGGCAGACGGAGGGCUUCUCCCUCAGGCAGGUGUGCGGGUGGCAACUUCCAGCCACUUGGGCAGCGGCUGUUGGUGCCUGCAGUGACUGGCCCUGUCGGGUCUGACCUGCAGCCAACUCUCAAGGAAAGGACAGGCCCCAGCCGGUUCCUUCAAGAAACAAGACUCUAAAGCACUGGGGUACUCUAAGGUACCCCAGAAGGCAGACCUUGAGGAGGAGCCACUGCUUCACAACAGCAAGCUGGACAAAGUUCCUGGGGUGCAAGGGCAGUCCAAACAGGGAAGCAGAGGCCUCUAACGCCAGGGCUUUCUGUUGGGUGGGCAGCCAGCACAGGGACAGGCAGAUGAUGGCACUCCCCGAUGAUCCUGUCCCCACACCUGCGAAAGCCCACCACACUUCAGCAGUGUAAGUGGUCAUCCACCAGCUGUGGAAUACCAACCUUCUGCAGGCCCAAGAGCUGCAGCACCUCAAGUCCCUCCUGGAAGGGAGGCAGAGGCCCCAGGCAGCCCCAAGGCUGACAGCAUCCUGACAGGACAGCGAGCCCAGAUUCAUGGAGAAGGGGACACAGUGAUGAACAACUGACAAACACAGGAAUAAUAAAUUUAUUAUAAUCACAGAUGGUGGGGUAGUGCACAUAAAAAGGGGGGACCUCUUCUCACCAGAGGGUGCUGGCCGGUGCCCAGAGUGGCAGGCAACAUAGGGAGGCGC